rnacentral:rRNA from 1 species
UUUUUAAUGGGAUCUUGUAUGAAUGGUUGGACAAAGGAGAAGCUGUCUUUAAGAUAAAUAUUUAAUUUUACUUUUAAGUGAGAAGGCUUAAAUAUUUUAGGGGGACGAUAAGACCCUAUAAAGCUUUAUAUUAUAAUUAUAUUUGAUUAAAUUUAAAUAAUAAAAAUUUAAUGUAGUUAUUUAUUUUGUUGGGGAGACAAGAGUAAAAAUUAUAUUAACUACUCAACAAAUAAACAUUUAUUGAUGUGUUUAAAGUUUAAAGAUCCUAUUUGUGUAUAGAUUAAAAGAUUAAGUUACUUUAGGGAUAACAGUGCCAUUUUUUUUAAGAGUUCAUAUCGAAAAAAUAGUUUACAACCUCGAUGUUGAAUUAAAAUGUCUUUAUAAUGUAGCUGUUAUAUAAGAAGGUCUGUUCGACCUUUAAUUUUUUAC